rnacentral:misc_RNA from 1 species
GUAGGUGAACCUGCGGAAGGAUCAUUACAGUAGUCGCCUGGGUUGCCGCAAGGCCUCCCGGGUAACCUACCACCCUUUGUUUAUUACACUUUGUUGCUUUGGCAGACCUGCCCUCGGGCUGCUGGCUCCGGCCGGCGAGCGCUUACCAAAAAACCUAAACUCUAUUUGUCUAUACUGUCUGAGUACUAUAUAAUAGUUAAAACUUUCAACAACGGAUCUCUUGGUUCUG